CGGGGGGAGCAAGCGUUGUUCGGAUUUACUGGGCGUAAAGGGCGCGUAGGCGGCCAGCGCAAGUCAGUUGUGAAAUCUCCGGGCUUAACUCGGAAAGGUCAACUGAUACUGUGCGGCUAGAGUGCAGAAGGGGCAACUGGAAUUCUCGGUGUAGCGGUGAAAUGCGUAGAUAUCGAGAGGAACACCUGCGGCGAAGGCGGGUUGCUGGGCUGACACUGACGCUGAGGCGCGAAAGCCAGGGGAGCGAACGGGAUUAGAUACCCCGGUAGUCCUGGCCUUAAACGAUGGAUGCUUGGUGUCUGGAGUUUUAUAGUCUCCGGGUGCCGUAGCUAACGCGUUAAGCAUCCCGCCUGGGGAGUACGGUCGCAAGACUG
rnacentral:rRNA from 1 species